ensembl:lincRNA
GGGAGGGCCGCGGGAUCGCCAUGCUCAACCUUCUGAAGACCCUGAGCCAGAGCAUCGCCCCCUCCAUGGCUGACAUGUGGGAGCUGGAGAUCCCGCUGCUGGUGAAGUACCUGGAAGGUGAGAUGUCCCGGGUAUGUGUGCAAGCCAUCUGCUAAGUGCACAUGCCAGGUACUAGAUGUGUGGCAUGAGCAAAGGAGCCUGUGGUGCUUGUGUGAUCCCUACUGUACAUGCUGUGUACUAACCACCUGGUCUGAGCAAAGGAGCCUGGGGCGUGUGAGCCACCCUCCAUCUGUGUACCUGCCGUGUACAAGUCACGUGGCCUGAGCCAGGGCGCCCAGGCUCCCGGUGGCCAGCACAGCCUACUCUGGUCCUUGGAGGGUGGGGAGGGAAGUGCGGCGUGUGGGGAGCCCGUCCACGGAGGACCCCAGCUGCUGCAUUUGGGAGGCGGCAUGGAGGAGCGGCAGGAGGCAGGAGCGCGGGCGGCCUGCAGAACACACUGAGUUUACGUGGAACCAGGAGACGUGGGAGGACAAGCUGAUUCAGUUUCUGAGAAACUCCCUCAAGAAGACUCGGGGUUCCAACUGGAGCCUGCGUCUGAGCAAAGAGCUGAACAACCAGAUCGAGAGCUUCGACAGCCCCUCCCUGGAGAAGGGCUUUCUGUACCGGGCCUUGGGCUUCACCCUGGCCACGGGCCUGGAGGCCGACAAGGUGGAAGUGCUGCUGCUGGAGCUGCUGUACAAGACGGACUACAGCAACGACUUCGACCGGGAGGUGCGGGUGCCCCGCGGUCCCCUCCGGGCCUUGGGAGGACGCGGUGUGCGCGUGCCUGUGCGUGUGCGCGUGCCUGUGCGUGUGCGCGUGCCUGUGCGUGUGCGCGUGCCUGUGCGUCUCUCCGUGUGUGGGGGAGGGGGGGCGCAGCGCACGGGGUGCCCUCAGCCUGCCCGCUGGGUCCUCCCGCAGGGCGUGAUCCUGUGCUUUGGCCUGUGUGCCCGGGGCCAGGUGAAGACGGUGCUGGGCGUGCUCCAUGACUUUGAAGAGAGGAUCCAGGAGUCGGAGCAGUCCUGGCAGAUUGGCGCCUGGCGGAAGGACCAUCCCUGGAGGCGGGAGACGGUGAAGGGCGCGCUCAUGGUGAUGUACAGCUGCGUGGCCUCCUACUGCCACCCGCAGAUGCUUCUCAUCCACGUGGACAACCCCAUCACCACCAAGAUCAUCCACCACUACUCCAGCAGCUGCCAGACUCAGAAGAAGCCUGCCAUUCUCUACAACUUCUUGCUAGAAACAAUGACCUAUGUUAAAAGCAACUUGUCAAGGAUCAGAAUCGCUGCAUGUAACUUGGCAGGUGAGCAGGCAGGUCUCCUGAUGCAGGAGAGACCUUGAAGACCAUCUGGUCAGACCCAGGUCUGGAGUGGGGACAGGUGUUGGGAGUCAGGCUCGGGCAGAAGUUCCCCGUGUGUGUCCCAUGGUGCUUCAUACCUGCCCAAUGCUGAAGUAGACGUCCUGAACUAAAUCCUUAACAGAAACUCUCAUCAGGAGAAACCAAAUCUCUCGCUGACCUAACAUUCAUGUGAUGGGCAUUUCUGACUGUCAUUUUAGGAAUCAUUAUGAAGCAGAUGUCUGCGCAUUACUUGAGAAAGCUGGAUUUUCCAGCAUUACGGAAUUGUAAGUAGUGGAGAUUCAAGUGUGAGUCAAAAUGAGUCCACCCUGCUCAUUUGGGACCUUAGUGAAACCGCUGGAGGGGAGAGUCAGCUGACCCUGGUUAUAUUUGGGGUGGGGGACAGGGGUGGCCAGGGCACAGAGAGGUGGAUGAACCUGCGGGGAGCUUUCUAGGAAGACAGCUCUGAUAGUUCCCUGUGCUUUCUGCUUGCUCCCCAUCAUACACAUUGAUGCCUCUGGCUGGUCGACACAGCAGCUGGGGCCUGGGGGUCAUCUUCCUGUCCCUGUUGACGUGACGGAAGUCCCCAGGAAUGGGAGAUGCGUGUGGAGACACAACUGCACCUGCCAUCUUCUGAAUUUACACUCAGGGUGGGGAUGAAGUUCAAAGCCCCGUGAGCCCCUCGCCCUGCAGUCAGCUCUCAUCAGGAUGCACCACGCAGGGUGGGCGGAGGAUGAGGACCUGGCUACGGGGGUCCUCAUCCUCCUCGUCACUCUCUCAGCUCUCCAGGAGCUACAGCUGGACUCAGAUCCUGGUGUUUGGAGGGCAGCUCUGGAGACGCCUAACAUCUUGGAUACCUGCAGUCAGCAGCAGCUUUUGGCUUCACCUGAAGGAAUCUCCUAGGUGGUCUAAGUGCAAAACAUACCUUUAUCCUGGGGGCCAAACCCCACUGCACCACCGCAAACCACUUUUAAUUGUGUUUGUAAGAAAAAAUAUUUUACUUAAAUAAUCAGUGCCCCUUUCUUUCCUCCCCUUGAAAUAAACCUCCCUUGCUAUUUGGAGAGCAGAUUCCUGACUGCAAGGAGAUGACGCCCCAGAGCUGAGACAGUGAUUGUUUACCUCUUUGGGAUAAUGAGGUGAAGGGAAAUUAAGUGAAGGGAAAUUCUGGUCCUAGCGGGGAUUAGAUUCCUGUGUCCCCUGAGUGUGUGUGUGUGUGAGUGUGUGUGUGUGUGUGUGUGUGUGUGUGAGGCCAGAGGAUCUGGGGUUCCCGUUGUGUCUUCACUGCAUUUCAGUUCCUCCCAAGUGGAUGGUGUGUGUCCACUGCCAGGCUCUGUGCUGGGGCCCCAGGGGGGCCCAGCUACUGUCCAGCCCUGCUUCCAGGAGCCCUGCCCUUAAAGGGAAAGGAGACAUCUCCCAGCACCCAUGUCGCACCCAGGAUGAGGGAGGGCGGCCACCGAUGGGGGCAGUGCUGGUGCCCGUCUGCAGGGUGUAACUCAGGGGGCUUCAGGGAGGAAGUGACACCACACCGUCCACCCUCGUCUCUUUCAUAUCAGGGUCCACUGGGCCAGGAUGGGAAGGGACCCAGCGAGGCCUGGAGCAGAACCCAUGAAGGGCCAAAGGGAGGAGUUACCUUCAAGUCCAAGAAACAGGCAGGGGGAGAAGGGCAGGGAAACUCUUCCUACACUCACGCUGCCAGCGGGACAGUCUCGGGUUGUCCCCAGAGCAGAUGGAGGUGGGAUUUCCAAACCAGUCCCACUGUAACAGCCCAAGGCAGUCACCACCCUGGGCCCAUGGGUGGGAGGAUUGCAAAACAGUCCAGAAAACCAACCUGCACUGGAGGCUUCCCAGGAGACUGGUCUCACACUCUUGGUGGUGCCCACGGAACAGACAGUGGAGUUACUUCCUGCUGAGUGAUGAAGAUGGUGGCUGCUGGAAGACUCAAGUCCCAGUGACGCAGCCAGAAAGGAUGUGCCCUUCACUCUAGGCCCGGGGGAAGCCGUACGAUUGCAGAGUCAGGUCUCUGAUCAAUUCUGUUCAUGCCUGUGCAAAACAUCUCCAGAUGGUUUAUAGACCUGAACUCAGAAAGCAAAAAUUUAAGACAAUAUAGUCAUUUUGAUCCUGAGACUAGGGUAGGAUGUCCUUUAAGAGUAAUGAAUGAAACAAGUUAAAAAUAAAGGAUUAACUUUUGUAAGUUACAGUAUAUCUUCUGGGACUUUGCUGGUGGUCCAGUGAUUAAAAUUCCAUGCUUCCACUGCAGGGAGCUUAGGUUCUGUCCCUGGUUGGGGAACUAAGAGCCUUAUGCCAUGCAGUGCAAUUAAAAAAAAAGAAAAUUUCUUGAAUAAAAAUGAAAAUACA